rnacentral:rRNA from 1 species
UACAGAGGUCUCAAGCGUUGUUCGGAUUCAUUGGGCGUAAAGGGUGCGUAGGCGGCGCGGUAAGUCGGGUGUGAAAUCUCGGAGCUUAACUCCGAAACUGCAUUCGAUACUGCCGUGCUUGAGGACUGGAGAGGAGACUGGAAUUCCUGGUGUAGCGGUGAAAUGCGCAGAUAUCAGGAGGAACACCGGUGGGCGAAGGC